GGCGAGAUGGCCGAGUGGUCUAAGGCGCCAGACUAAGGUGUGUCUUUACUUGGAUACGUCGGUAUCUGGUCCGAAAGGGCGUGGGUUCGAAUCCCACUCUCGUCA